GGAGGAUUGGCCGAGUGGUAAGGCAGCCGUUUCGAAAACGGUGGUCGGGUGUGCUGAGCGCCCGCGUGGGUUCGACUCCUGCAUCCUCCG
rnacentral:tRNA from 1 species